GACGAACGCUGGCGGCGUGCUUAACACAUGCAAGUCGAACGGUGAAGGGACUGGUUUUGCUGGUCCUGGAUGAGUGGCGAACGGGUGAGUAACACGUGAGUAACCUGCCCCCUUCUUCUGGAUAACCGCAUGAAAGUGUGGCUAAUACGGGAUAUUCUGGGUCUGUCGCAUGGUGGGCCUGGGAAAGAUUGCGCCUUUUUUGGUGUUUUUGGUGGGGGAUGGGCUCGCGGCCUAUCAGCUUGUUGGUGGGGUGAUGGCCUACCAAGGCGGUGACGGGUAGCCGGCCUGAGAGGGUGGACGGUCACACUGGGACUGAGACACGGCCCAGACUCCUACGGGAGGCAGCAGUGGGGAAUAUUGCACAAUGGGCGCAAGGCUGAUGCAGCGACGCCGCGUGAGGGAUGGAGGCCGUCGGGUUGUGAACCUCUUUCGCCAGUGAAGCAGGCCUGCCUCUUUUUGUGGGUGGGUUGACGGUAGCUGGAGAAGAAGCGCCGGCUAACUACGUG
rnacentral:rRNA from 1 species